rnacentral:rRNA from 1 species
UACGUAGGGUGCGAGCGUUAAUCGGAAUUACUGGGCGUAAAGCGUGCGCAGGCGGCGCGUUAAGACAGGUGUGAAAGCCCCGAGCUUAACUUGGGAAUUGCGCUUGUGACUGGCGUGCUGGAGUGUGGCAGAGGGAGGUGGAAUUCCACGUGUAGCAGUGAAAUGCGUAGAGAUGUGGAGGAACACCGAUGGCGAAGGCAGCCUCCUGGGCCAGCACUGACGCUGAGUGAGCGAAAGCCAGGGGAGCAAACGGG